rnacentral:rRNA from 1 species
AGUGAACGCUGGCGGUAUGCCUAACACAUGCAAGUCGAACGGCAGCACAGUAAGAGCUUGCUCUUACGGGUGGCGAGUGGCGGACGGGUGAGGAAUACAUCGGAAUCUACUUUUUCGUGGGGGAUAACGUAGGGAAACUUACGCUAAUACCGCAUACGACCUACGGGUGAAAGCAGGGGAUCUUCGGACCUUGCGCGAUUGAAUGAGCCGAUGUCGGAUUAGCUAGUUGGCGGGGUAAAUGCCAACCAAGGCGACGAUCCGUAGCUGGUCUGAGAGGAUGAUCAGCCACACUGGAACUGAGACACGGUCCAGACUCCUACGGGAGGCAGCAGUGGGGAAUAUUGGACAAUGGGCGCAAGCCUGAUCCAGCCAUACCGAGUGGGUGAAGAAGGCCUUCGGGUUGUAAAGCCCUUUUGUUGGGAAAGAAAGGCAGCAGGUUAAUACCCCGCUGUUCUGACGGUACCCAAAGAAUAAGCACCGGCUAACUUCGUG